rnacentral:tRNA from 1 species
UAGUUAUAAACUUAAUUUUAAGCUUAUGUCUUGAAAUCAUAAUGAAAGGAUUUAUCCUUAUUAACUUAA